rnacentral:lncRNA from 1 species
CAAUUUAAGCAUAAAUCAUAUAAGAAAAAUAAUUUCAAUUGAUAAACAUCAAAUACGAACUUUCUCGGGUCUUAUAUGAGCCUACAAAUGCUCUGAAGUUAACUCGAAAUCGCGACGUGAGGAGUUCUUCAUCACAACAUGAUCGUUUGUUUUGCCUCGUUGAGAUGACGGGGUUCCUUGUCAUGUUGUGGUCCAAAACCCAUAUCUCAUCGCAAUGACCACCGCUUGACUUCGUGACGUGGACUCUGUUUUUUACACAGAAUAGACCUUUUGGUGACUAUUUCAACCAACUAAACCAUUAUACAAAGUUGGUGCAUUUUUGCAUAACAUUACCUAUACAAGAAUUUGCCAAAACACAUGCCAAACAUAUAUUUAACUAUUUUCCCAAUCAACUAGACCAAUAUGCCACAAUUUGGCAUCAAAUCAUUUCAAUUCAACUUAUAUAAAUUCAAUUAUACAUAUAGCCAUUCCACACCAUUAUUUAAUCAUACUAUUCAUGCUCAAAUAUACCAUAUCAAGUAUCACACCCAUAGUUCAAAAUGUUACCAAAACAACAUGUUCAAAUAAGCUUUACUUUACCAAAUAUUCAAACAUUAGAAAGGUUCAACAAUACUAACAUCUAUAUUACCAAAAGCAUAACUCCUGUUUACAUGCCACAAAACUAAGAUUCCAAAUUAUUAAAAGACUACCAAAUCAAUGACAGGGUAUUAUGAGAUUCUCGUAGAUCUGAUCGACAUGUUCUGCAAGAUGGCAAUCUACAAAAAAAGAAAGAUAAUGGCGUAACCAUUUCGAAUGCUUAGUAAGUGUUAGGAAAUGUGUCUAUAUUGUAGUAAACAUGUAAUUGUUUUCUAUGUAUUUGAAUGAUGAAUAAAUAAAUAAAGUUAAUUUCACAUUUCACUAUUAUGUCUUUUAUGUUUCUAUCUUUCAUGUUCAGCAUGCAUAGCGAAACUGUGACAAACAAAUAUUAGUCCAUUGAUUGUCUAAGUUCAAACUGAUGAUAAGUGACACUGUAAGAAAGUUUACAUUGUAAGAAAAACAACUUACUUUAGUAGAUAAUCUAAACGAACCCGUAAUCCUAUAAAAGAAUCAAAGUGAGCAUUUGAUUCAAAUACAUAAAAGGAUUAUUAUGUCCUUUACAAUUCCAAUUGUGGAGAUAGCUAGUCUUGGCUAUUGGAGCAGUUGACUCCACGGGUAGAGAUAUAGAUGUACUCAUUGGAAGAAUGAUACAUUGAACUGAACCUAAGUUGAAUUAAUUCUGAAUCCGUUUGUGAAUUAAUUCACUUGUGACGUUCAUGAUGUGAUUUACUAAAUCCUGAGUUAGUUACUAACCAUGUGUAUGUAACUCAUGUGCUUUGAUAUAAGUGGAGGCUUGUACUUUAAAAAUGAUCGAGCCUAUAGACGGCAUGCUGGGUACAUGACUUGUGUAUGGCAUCGCUUUGUUAGCAACAAUGGAAUUCAUAGCUCGAUUAAAGAGUUAAUGGUAUCUUCUCAUUGGGAUUGUGUGGAUUGAUAAAUAUGGAACGUGGCCACGGGUUACUUAUUCUCGAACUAGCAAUUUAUUACAUUCGUUUGCUGACAAAGAUCAUAUUACUCAUUAAGAAGACACAAUGGUGACAAUAAGAUAAAAUAGAAUUGUACUGAGUGAACGGAUUUAACUAAAUGAAAUUAAGGAUAUUAUAUAAGGAUAAAACAUAUAUGACAAGGUCAUUCGACAAAGCAGUUGGAUGAAUUGCUUUCGUAAAGAGUAUACAAUAAGGAGUUUUCAAUCAUGGUACUUCUUUUGGACUGACUCCAUGAUUAAGUAAUUAUGAAUUAUUGGAACAAUGCUUUUGGACAUAAUUGUAUUUACUAGAGCCUAAUUGUAUAUGUCCAAUUGGUCCCUCUGCUAGCUCAACAAAAACUCAAUCAGACUGUAUUUGAAUUAGAAGAAAAUUCUACAACUUUGGAAAUAAUUUAAUUGAGUCGAUUUAUUCGAUGUGAAAUUAAAUUAGACAGUCGUUAGAAUUGAUCAACUAGAAAACUUGAUUAAAGAAUUUUUUUGAAAAAUUAAUUUGGAAAAUAUUAGUGAUUUUUGGGAAAACUAAUUUUUAUCAAGUAAAAUUAAAUUAAUCAAAUUAAUUAAAAUUAAUAUGAUAUUUUCAGAAAUUAAUUUUCAAGUUAUACAAUUGACCAAUAGGUAAUUGGACUUGAGACCGAAAAUUGGAAUCAAGAACCAAAAAUCAAGAUUGAGACCCAAAACUGUUUGAAUUGGGCUCGAUAGUGAAAUCGGACCAAUCGGGCCAUCAUUGGCCCAAACUGAAUUGGAGACAACCGAACGAACAACAGUUGAACCGGCUCAAGGUGCUAUAAGGGUGUCGCAUCUACGAUAGCACCACUAGACACGACGACGUUCUAGUGGCUAAUGGGUGGUCCUUCGACGGUUGAGCAGUGGAGGAAUCACACUUCUACUAGGACUCUACUAGAUAAUUUGAUUUCAGAUUAACUAUUCUGAAAAAAAAUAUUAUUUUAAUAGAUUUAAUAUUAAAUAUAAUUUACUAUUUAUCUUGAUAGUGUUAUGUAGCAACCCAAACCCGGCCCAGAAAUUAUGGCCGGAUCCGGCAUGCCACAUCAAAAACGUUAAAAAAAAAAUUUCUAUUCUAAGUCCAGAAAAUCGUACUUGAUGUUCAAAAGAUUAAUUCAUUAAGGGUUAAAGUGAAUGGAAGCUGUGCACCAGGUAAGAAACCAGAAAAGAGGUGGUGAGUCAAUCGGACUGCUUAAGUACCAAGCUCCCUUCGGAUCCAAUCCUAGACAUGCAUACCGCCAUUGCCACACCUUAACGUCAUGGAUAUUUCUAGGAAACCGAUUUGAUUAAGUCAUUUUUAGGAAAAGUGAUUAAUUUUGGAAAAUACUUUCAUUGCGGAAGCUUUUCUUGUUGUCGUGUUAUUUUGAAAUCAACUGUUGUUUUUGAAAACGCGCCCUAAAACUAUCCAAUUUCAACAGUUAAAAUAAGUAUUACCUAUCUUAGUAAUACAUAUUAAAAACCAUCAAAAAUAAAUAAGCGGCCUUAUUACAUUUAAAAGCCUAAAACCUCAAACAUAAUUAAAAGGAUGUCAAGUUUACCAGAAGAAAAUCAAACUUUCAGAACGGGUGGCCACUCCGAAUUCCCUCACAGCUCCAAGCCCACUAUGGUUGGGAAUUUCCUGCGUGGAUGAAAAUAAAAGGGGUGAGUUUGGGGAAACUCAGUGUGUAAAUUAACCCAACCAUAGCCUAUAUCAGCUCAAACCACAGAAAUAGAAUAAGUUGGCCUUAGCCCAGAACAGAAUUCAAAAUAAAGCCCAUAGGCCCAUAACAGAACAGAACAGAUAUUACAUGUUUAUGCAGAAACCCAACCAUAUCCAACCGUAUACACCCCCGUACCAACCUUACACCGUGUGGGGAGACAAAUCGACCCACCCAACCGCUACACACCACAGAAUUUGCAGCAUGGCUGCCAGAACAGAUAAUGUGACAGAGUCACCAGAUACAGAUAAUCGUGGCAGAGCCACCAGAACAGAUAUAUGUGGCAGAGCCACCAGAUCAGAUAUUUGUGGCAUAGCCACCAGAACGCUUCCUCCAUAAUAUAACCCAUGUCCCCAUGCAACAAAUAUAUAAUCAUGGCAUCCAUCAUACAGAAUCAGAUCGCUAUUCUUUUCAGUCAAAAUUAACCCUAGAGGUAUAACGGUAAUUUUGCACCUAGGGGUAUAAUAGUAAUUUUCCAUACAUAGGGGUAUUAUAGUAAUUUAGCUACUUUCAGGGUUUUCAUGCAUAUCCUAACUAUUUACGUACUAUCAGAACACUUACCGCACAUACUUACCGAAUUGGGCCCGUUGGCCCAUGAACCCGAUCUUUGGCCCAUUAAGCCCAAAUUAUCAAAAUGUACGAAAUCGCGCGUACUGCAGUUUAUUACUUUAGAUUACCAAAUAUAUAAACCCAACUAUUUUACGAGCAUUCGCACACUCGCAAAUUCCCAAAAUACCGACUUUUCGGCUUUUGCCAAUCUAGUCUAUGAGAGGGUGUCAGUUACACACCUGUUUGCGACGAUAUGCUAACGAGAUCCACACACGAACCGCCUACAAUUGGAUUACUAACACGUUAAUCUAACUAUUCAAAUACAAACUAUGUAUUAACCCCUUACAAUAUUCGGCCAACCACACCUACAGAUCAUAGUAAGCUUAUAAGAAAUCAAUAAGCAACUCAUUAACAAAUUUUUGUCAAUGUUUACCACAUAAUCAUAAUUUCACUGCAAGCUGUCUUCCUGAGCAACAGUCACUAAAUUAUUUAUAACUGGAGCUACGAAACUCCAAAUCAAGUGCCGUUAAUUUUCCUUGAAAAUAGACUCAUAUAUCUUCUAUCCAUAAAAUUUUCAGAAUUUUUUGGUUUAGCCAAUCAAUACCAGAUUUUUCUCAAAGUUUCCCAUGUUUCACUGUUUGACUAAUCUGACCACUCUUUAUUACGAAUCAAAUUUCUCAUUCUACAGAAUUCAAAAUAUGUUCUAGUUUAUUCCAUUUGAAACUAGACUCAUUAAGCUUUAAUUACAUAAUUUAUUCAGCUUCUAACUCAUCUCCCACAAUUUAUGGUGAUUUUCCAAAGUCACAUUACUGCUGCUGUCCCAAGCAGAUUUAUUACCAAAUCACUCUUUCACACCUAACUUGCAUGCUUGUUAUUUAAACAUGUAUAUCACCAAUCAAUCAUCACAUAUCUAUGAUUUUACUUAAGUAUAAUCUCCAUUUCAUCAUUUUAAAGCACAACAUGUUAGCUGAUUUUUCCCUUUAACAUCUAAGGCAUAUGCAUGCUCAUUUGUUUGGCUCAACUUCACCUAUCUUCCAUUUUUUCAUCAAAAGAACAUGAAACAACAACCAUUUCCUUCAUUUUAAUUCAUGACUAAAUGCUCACAACACAACUAAAAAUCAAAAUAUACUUCAAGAGUUAAGGUAGAAUCAAGAAGAACUCAUGAACCUCAAAAUAGAAGCAAGGUACCAAGAACUUACCUUCAAUUUUCCUCCUCCUAAUGACCGAAUACUCAAGAGCUUUCUCCUCUCCUUUCUCUUCUCUAACUUUCAGCUAUGAUGAACAAUGAUGGAUAAAACUUUGUUCUUUUCACCCCUUUUUCUUUUAAUAAAACUUCAUAUUUC